rnacentral:rRNA from 1 species
CCUACGGGAGGCAGCAGUGAGGAAUAUUGGUCAAUGGACGAGAGUCUGAACCAGCCAAGUAGCGUGAAGGAUGACUGCCCUAUGGGUUGUAAACUUCUUUUAUAUGGGAAUAAAAUGUUCCACGUGUGGGAUUUUGUAUGUACCAUAUGAAUAAGGAUCGGCUAACUCCGUGCCAGCAGCCGCGGUAAUACGGAGGAUCCGAGCGUUAUCCGGAUUUAUUGGGUUUAAAGGGAGCGUAGGUGGAUUGUUAAGUCAGUUGUGAAAGUUUGCGGCUCAACCGUAAAAUUGCAGUUGAAACUGGCAGUCUUGAGUACAGUAGAGGUGGGCGGGAUUCGUGGUGUAGCGGUGGAAUGCUUAGAUAUCACGCAGAACUCCGAUUGCGAAGGCAGCUCACUGGACUGCAACUGACACUGAGGCUCGAAAGUGUGGGUAUCAAACAGGAUUAGCUCACCCUUGUAGUC